rnacentral:rRNA from 1 species
UGGAAGUAAAAAGUCGUAACAAGGUCUCCGUUGGUGAACCAGCGGAGGGAUCAUUAAA